rnacentral:rRNA from 1 species
UGGGUGAUCUGCCCUGCACUUUGGGAUAAGCCUGGGAAACUGGGUCUAAUACCGAAUACACCCUGCUGGUCGCAUGGCCUGGUGGGGGAAAGCUUUUGCGGUGUGGGAUGGGCCCGCGGCCUAUCAGCUUGUUGGUGGGGUGAUGGCCUACCAAGGCGACGACGGGUAGCCGGCCUGAGAGGGGUGUCCGGCCACACUGGGACUGAGACACGGCCCAGACUCCUACGGGAGCA